GACGAACGCUGGCGGCGUGCUUAACACAUGCAAGUCGAACGGAAAGGCCCCUUCGGGGGUACUCGAGUGGCGAACAGGUGAGUAACACGUGAGUAACCUGCCCUUGACUUCGGGAUAACUUCAGGAAACUGGGGCUAAUACCGGAUAGGAAUCCUUGCUGCAUGGUGGGGGUUGGAAAGCUUCGGCGGUUUUGGAUGGACUCGCGGCUUAUCAGCUUGUUGGUGGGGUAGUGGCUUACCAAGGCUUUGACGGGUAGCCGGCCUGAGAGGGCGACCGGCCACAUUGGGACUGAGAUACGGCCCAGACUCCUACGUGAGGCAGCAGUGGGGAAUAUUGCACAAUGGGCGGAAGCCUGAUGCAGCAACGCCGCGUGCGGGAUGACGGCCUUCGGGUUGUAAACCGCUUUCAGCAGGGGCGAAGCUUGUGGUGACGGUACCUGCAGAAGAAGCACCGGCUAACUACGUG
rnacentral:rRNA from 1 species